rnacentral:rRNA from 1 species
AGAGUUUGAUCCUGGCUCAGAUUGAACGCUGGCGGAAUGCUUUACACAUGCAAGUCGAACGGUAGAGGGGGCAACCCCUUGAGAGUGGCGAACGGGUGAGUAAUAUAUCGGAACGUGCCCAGUCGUGGGGGAUAACGUAGCGAAAGUUACGCUAAUACCGCAUACGAUCUAUGGAUGAAAGCGGGGGACCGUAAGGCCUCGCGCGAUUGGAGCGGCCGAUAUCAGAUUAGGUAGUUGGUGGGGUAAAGGCUCACCAAGCCAACGAUCUGUAGCUGGUCUGAGAGGACGACCAGCCACACUGGAACUGAGACACGGUCCAGACUCCUACGGGAGGCAGCAGUGGGGAAUUUUGGACAAUGGACGCAAGUCUGAUCCAGCCAUUCCGCGUGCAGGAUGAAGGCCCUCGGGUUGUAAACUGCUUUUGUACGGAACGAAAAGGUCUCUAUUAAUACUAGGGGCUCAUGACGGUACCGUAAGAAUAAGCACCGGCUAACUACGUGCCAGCAGCCGCGGUAAUACGUAGGGUGCAAGCGUUAAUCGGAAUUACUGGGCGUAAAGCGUGCGCAGGCGGUUAUGUAAGACAGAGGUGAAAUCCCCGGGCUCAACCUGGGAACUGCCUUUGUGACUGCAUAGCUAGAGUACGGUAGAGGGGGAUGGAAUUCCGCGUGUAGCAGUGAAAUGCGUAGAUAUGCGGAGGAACACCGAUGGCGAAGGCAAUCCCCUGGACCUGUACUGACGCUCAUGCACGAAAGCGUGGGGAGCAAACAGGAUUAGAUACCCUGGUAGUCCACGCCCUAAACGAUGUCAACUGGUUGUUGGGUCUUCACUGACUCAGUAACGAAGCUAACGCGUGAAGUUGACCGCCUGGGGAGUACG